rnacentral:rRNA from 1 species
AGUGGGGAAUAUUGCGCAAUGGGCGGAAGCCUGACGCAGCAACGCCGCGUGCGGGAUGACGGCCUUCGGGUUGUAAACCGCUUUCACUCAUGACGAAGCUUUUGUGACGGUAGUGGGAGAAGAAGCACCGGCCAACUACGUGCCAGCAGCCGCGGUGAUACGUAGGGUGCGAGCGUUGUCCGGAAUUAUUGGGCGUAAAGAGCUUGUAGGCGGUUUGUCGCGUCGAAAGUGAAAACUCGGGCCUUAAUCCUGAGCUUGCUUUCGAUACGGGCUGACUAGAGGAAGGUAGGGGAGAAUGGAAUUCCUGGUGGAGCGGUGGAAUGCGCAGAUAUCAGGAGGAACACCAGUGGCGAAGGCGGUUCUCUGGACCUUUCCUGACGCUGAGAAGCGAAAGCGUGGGGAGCAAACAGGCUUAGAUACCCUGGUAGUCCACGCCGUAAACGGUGGGCACUAGGUGUGGGUCACAUUCCACGUGAUCCGUGCCGUAGCUAACGCAUUAAGUG